rfam:Parcubacteria bacterium GW2011_GWA1_50_14 TY56_C0009, whole genome shotgun sequence.
CCGCGCGUAGCUCAAUCGGCAGAGCAGCUCCCUCUUAAGGAGACGGUUGGGGGUUCGAUUCCCUCCGCGCGGA